UGAUAGGAAUAGUACUGUAGAAAAAAUAGUGCCUAUGGUAUUUUUGUAAUUUUUGUUUCAUUUGUGGGUUUUUACAAAAAUAAAAAUAUCUGUUUCAUCUAUAACUGCUCUGCAGAUUUUUCUUUUUCACUUUCUAUGUUUACAGUUCGCAACAAAAAAAGAAAGAGAUUUCCUGUCAAUCUUUGCCCGGUGAAUCCGAUCAUAAUCCAAAAAAAAUCACACUAGACAAAUCCACUACAUCAACAAAGCAAGGAGCUAUUCCGCCUCUCCAAAUUCAACGAAUUAUUAUUUUCAGUUUCUGUUUUUCGACGGGCGCGCUCAGGGUCCACUUGUCUUUGCUCCCAUUGAUUUCUUUGCUGGAACACUUUCAUUUGUUUAUUGCAGCUUCGGACUUUGACCGCAUUUUUCAGAUAUUUUAUGAUGGCAAAAAGAUGUGUGCUUUCAACAGAAGAUGGCUCAGACAGCCCUGUAACAACUUCAAGACGUUUAUUUUUUAGUUUACCUCCUCCGUCUGCAUAUGAUAUGGCUAUGCCAAUUAUCUUUGGCCCUGAGUGUUCACAUGCUCUAACUACUCAGUCGAGAAGUUUGCGAGAUAAAGACUUCGAAAAAUAGAAAGAGGCGUGUUCUCAUUGUUGACAUCGUUGGGAAUGUUCUAAUCUCACAAGUGACAUGUUAUGAUUUCUCUUACUUUUGUUUUAAAUUUCUUUAGAGCUUUUAAGAAUUUAGCAUAUACUUGAAAAACUGAUUUCUUUUAUAUUAACAAUCGUUUUGUUUUCAUUUGCUCGGCUCUUCUUCUAAAAAUGGUCAAGUUUUCCUUGGCCCAACAAAUGUGAUCCCUAAUUCCAUAUUGUCAAAAUGUAUUGUUAUAAUUAAUUUUAUUUAGUGUUAUUGUUUAUUUACUCAUCUUGACUAUGUUACUACUCUUGCAUUUUGAUGGUUCGCAGGCUGCUUGCGCCGGUUGGGUUCCGAUGUGACGCAACUACCUUUGUCUAAUAAUGUUAGUGUUUCAUGGUCUAAACGUUUAUGUAAAGCUUCUUGUGGACAGAGGCGCUCAAAAGGGCCACACUCUUGAUGUUGUGAUAUUCCAUGAUAAUAUAGUUAGGUUCAAACAUGUGCUUCAAGAGGGUAAUGUUUACAUGGUGAAAGGAGCCUAUGUUUCUGAUCCAAAGCAAUACAAGAAUCCAAUUGUGACAUGUAAUUACCAAUGGACAUUCAGAAAAGAUACUUUGGUGAAUGAAGAACCAAAUGAUUCGAUACCUGCUGGUGGACUAAGUUUUAGAACAACUCCAAGUUGUGAGUUCCAUAAAUUCCUCUCAACAAAGACAUUGAUCAAUACUACUUGUGUCAUUAUUGGUACCCAUGAACCUCGGGAAGCCACAGUACAGGGUAAAGUCAUUCGUGAGUAUGCUGCUAUUGAUACAGAGCUGGAAACGUUUGUGGUGACAUUUUGGAAGCAAGAGAAUGAAGAGGCCAUUAACAUGUUAGUACAAACUGGUGGUUUUUUUGAAAAGAAAGUGUUGCGCUCACCCAAGCAACCUCUGCAGAUUACUAAAGUGGAACAAAUGUUGCACAAGAAAGAGAUGAUGUUGAUAGACCUGAGAAUUUUGAUGGUGCACAUUUGGAUAUGCCUCUAUCAGAUGAAUUUGUGGAGAGAGCAACUGAUUGCAAACUUGUUGAAGAUUCUCAUAUGGAGUCACGUCUACCUUUGGCAGGAGAAACAUAACCUUGUGGCAAAAUCAGCAUAAAAGACUAAAAUAACUCAAGCUAAGGACAAACAUGUAGCUAAAGCAAAGAAGGCAAAGAAAAUGAAGUCUAAUAUCUUAAAAGACAAGAUACAAAUCAUAUCCGAUUCAUCCCACCAACUUACUAAAGUGGUUGUCGAGCAUAAUAAAGGCAAAAGAGUCUCACAAACACCAACACUCAAGUCAAAGAGUGGCAGAACAAUCAAGCGAAGAAUAUUGGACUAAUGAAGUGAAAGAUUUUAUGAGACUUUGAAACAACUUGUGUAUGUACUUUGUACAAUUCUCUAG